rnacentral:rRNA from 1 species
AGUGAACGCUGGCGGUAGGCCUAACACAUGCAAGUCGAACGGCAGCACAGUAAGAGCUUGCUCUUACGGGUGGCGAGUGGCGGACGAGUGAGGAAUACAUCGGAAUCUACUUUUUCGUGGGGGAUAACGUAGGGAAACUUACGCUAAUACCGCAUACGACCUACGGGUGAAAGCAGGGGAUCUUCGGACCUUGCGCGAUUGAAUGAGCCGAUGUCGGAUUAGCUAGUUGGCGGGGUAAAGGCCCACCAAGGCGACGAUCCGUAGCUGGUCUGAGAGGAUGAUCAGCCACACUGGAACUGAGACACGGUCCAGACUCCUACGGGAGGCAGCAGUGGGGAAUAUUGGACAAUGGACGCAAGCCUGAUCCAGCCAUACCGCGUGGGUGAAGAAGGCCUUCGGGUUGUAAAGCCCUUUUGUUGGGAAAGAAAAGCAGCAGGUUAAUACCCCGCUGUUCUGACGGUACCCAAAGAAUAAGCACCGGCUAACUUCGUG